CACGCUGUAAACGAUGGAUACUAGGUGUGGGAGGUAUCGACCCCUUCCGUGCCGGAGUUAACACAAUAAGUAUCCCACCUGGGGAGUACGGCCGCAAGGCUGAAACUCAAAGGAAUUGACGGGGGCCCGCACAAGCAGUGGAGUAUGUGGUUUAAUUCGAAGCAACGCGAAGAACCUUACCAGGGCUUGACAUACCGAUGACCGGGUUAGAGAUAACCCUUCCCUUCGGGGCAUCGGAUACAGGUGG
rnacentral:rRNA from 1 species